UAUAUAAAAAGGGAACUUGGGUUUCGGCUGUCCAGGGGUAGGGGCACCGACCAGAUUCUUCACAUAACUACCAGACUGCCAUCUAAUAUCUCAUUAACCUUUUUUUUUAAUGGUAAAAUACAAAAGAAUGGGAACAGUGAUUCAACCCGUGAACUUCUCUCCUCAAAUUUUUGCUUCUUCUUCCUUCAUCAUUUUUUCUUAUUAACUUUUUUUUCCAUGUUUUUUUUAAUGGCAAAAUACAAAAGAAUGGUACUAUUCAAUCCGUGAAUCUCUGUCCUCAAUUUUUUGCUUCUUCUCCCUUCAUCAUUUUUACCAAAUUACCAAACUAAACUUUCAGAUUUUUCUCUCUCCUUAUCGUCAUCGUAAUUAUCACCAUUAUUAUUUUGGAGAGCGGAUCUUUAGGAGAGGUCGAGUAUCACGUUGACUUGCCUCAUAUUGCUAGGGGUGAGUACUGGGAACGAGGUGUUCAAUUGUGUGUGUAUAUUGAAAGAUUCAGAUAUUUCGUCAUCGUAAUUCGUUGAAUAACAGUCAAUUUUUAUUUCAUUUUAUGUGUUUGAAAGAUUUUAUAUUAGUACUUGUAAACUAUAUAGAAUAUGCCACUGAGGAUGGACCUCAUGAGGAUAUUGUCAAUUAUGGCAAAUUCGACGCGAGUUUGAGGCACAUAUCUAGAAGGCUGCUUCAAAAGGAUAGUAAAAUAUGUUGUACUUAGUGCUUAUCUAUUGAACAGUGGUAUGAUGCUCUCAAUGAAAAGGAUGCCUAAUCUUAUUUGACAAAGUUUACUAAUGCAUGGCAACUAAGUGGUUGACAAAUCACAGCUUCAUGUUGAUAUAUGUUUUAAAUUGCUAGGAUAUAGUCAUUGUUUUACAACACAUCUUGUGUUUGUUUAUUGAGGUGUAGAGUUUUCUUGGGUCGAUUAGGCGCUGCUGAAGGAAGCAAGGUGUAUGCUUUGUUUAUUUGAUUAGUAGUUAUAUAGCUUCUUAAAGUUGGUUGAUUUGUUGUGCUUUGUUACUAGAUUUAUUAGAGAUGUGUCAAUUUUUUUGGUUUUAAAAAAAGCUUCUCAUUUAUGUUUCAUUGUUCACCAGAUCAAUCACGAUGGUUGCUUUUGGGAAAAAGUUGAAAGAGAGGCAGCUUCAAGAAUGGCAAGGGUCGGUUGUUUAUUUGUAUACACUGAUACGUGUAUGAAAUAUAUGAUUUCCAAAUUAUUCACAAAGCAACGUGUAUAGUGGAGGACUUCAGUUCAGCUGAAUGAGUAUCUAUAUAUUAUAUCCAAAUCAUUUUCUUACUCAUUCAACCAAAUCCUUGAUAGAUGUUAUUAUCUUCAUAUGGCUUGAAGUUAUCGUUAACCGAUAUAGAUGCAGCUGAAGAUUCUUCUGGUUCAAUAAAGUUAUUAAAAAUGUAUGUGAUUGUUUUUAUACGGCCUACAUUAUCGUUAUUUUCUUUUGUUUGUAUUGAAAUGUUGAACUCAAGAUAAUUUUAUCUUACACUA